AAUACCCUACGGUCGAAAAAAAACGGCGUCAUGAACGGCUGGGGAAUGACGAUGACAAUUUUUGCGAACUCAAGCCCUAGACUUCAUUUUCUUGGCCCGUCCUCUUCUUUAUUGUUUAAUGGCGCUUACUGCCAGUUGCCCUUAAGAAGGUUGUAAUUUAUUUUUAUAUUGAGUAAAAACGAUUUUUAAAUGGCGUAGUUUAAAAUUACGGGAAAAAAUAUUUUUUGGAAAUAGAUUUGUGUGUCUAGAACCGUUCUAACCUUUUUUAUAAACUUCUUUCUAUAAUUGGUGUUAAUAUUGAAGUUUUAUGUAAAAUUUUACUAAAUGACGUCUAGAGAUUGACCUCGCCAAGAUUAUCAUCGAUUGUCAUUCCCCAGACGCCUUUGACGUAGUUUUUUUACUUUUUUUAAAUCACAUGUUAUAACCUUCUUAGUUUUUGAGCUACAGGGUGAUUUUGAUAAAUGCUUUUAACCGUCCCUUGUAUUCAGAUAUAAAAACUUAUUGUAAAUGUAAAAACAUAAUUCAGUGUAACGUUCUUUUUAAACGCAAAUGUUUUUAUCUUAAAAAAAUAUUUUUAAAUUCUGAUUAUCUCUAAUGGACAAACUAAGUACUUUUUUAUAGAGAUAAAUUGUGUGCAAUUACCUUAUUUUGAUUGACAACCUGUACAUAAAAUAUAUAAAAUACACCUUCCGUUUAUAACUGAAGAACAUAAUUUCAUCUGAAAGAAUUUUUUAUAAAAAUUCGUUUUUGCUUAUAACUUUUUAAAUAUUUAUAAAAAUGAUUCUGUAGCUUAGAAACUAGGAGGGCUGGGAUAAUACAUUUAUCACAGUCCUCUUCCUCAUAUCUGUAAUUUCAUCAAUAAGAAGCCAACUAUUGCGCAAAUCUCAACUUUUUCUCUAUCUCCGUUCAUAAGCUAGAAACUCCCUAAAGCACGAACGAAUGAAAAUGACACACCCUGUACAGGUUAGCAAUUUACUUUGUCCAAUUUUUUAUAAUAGCAGUGGUAUAAACACUGGACUAAAAUAAUAUUUUCUUUUUUUAGGCCAAAAAAUAAAGUUAAACCUUUUUAAAAGCGAAAUGAAAUAAAAGCUAACACUAUACAGAGUGUCCCAUUUUGGUAGCAAAUGUGGUUCUCUAUCUUUAUUAAUAAAGAUAGAGAACCUUGGGGUUGUCACCGAUCCUUACUACUUCUUUGUAAAAUUUAAUGUGCCAAACAAAAUUCUCGCGGCCUGCUUUGUUUUCCUGCUACAGGAUGUUACUAAAAAUGCAGUUUUUUUCUACCCUGACAAGAAGUUGAAUUAUUUCUUCUGGUAAGCACAUACUUUAGUGGAAAUCAAAACGGGGAGAAGAAACACACGAGAUUAAUUGGUAUGAGCUGUAGUAAGGAGCUUGUGUGUUUGUUUUCGCUGUUCUGCUCUCCGCUCCUGUAUAUGCUUAGCUUUAUACUUUAUGUGGAAUCCAGUGUCUUAGUUUUUUCCUUAAUAUUUCUGUUUGUGAAAUAUCGACCAUUGUUUAGUUUUUUUUAAAUAGGGCGCUUCAUGUGUAUUUAUCUAGAAAUUAAUUUGUCUUUUUACAAGCUUCCAAAAAUUCAUUUUAUAUUAGCCUCCUAAAUAUUUGCAGAAGGCCAUGCACACAAUGCUGCCCCUUGACUGUGAUUAUAUGAUUAUAUGUUUUUUUUUGUUUUCUUUACUGUUUAUUUUUGAUUGGUGUUGAUUAAUCCAUUCAAAUGAUCUAUUUAGUUCUUAUCAAAUAUACAGGGUGUCUUAUUUAAAAAUUAACUAAAUAUGGUCUUGAUAGAUAAAAUUAGAUGGAUAAAAAAUAAGCCCGCGGAUUCUACGUAAAAGGUUCUAUUUUAACGAUUCGUAUACAUGUUAUGCUAACGAUAUACGAGGGGUGUCUGAAAUGCAGUCUUGUUCUUAUCGUCCUGUAGCAUGGAAAUUAAGAAGGCUAUGUCGAUUUCGCUUAAAAGUAUCUCGAAAUUUACACAAACCGCAAGAUUCUAUCUUUAUUAAUCAAAAAAUGUAGUUUGGAGCGUAGCGUUUAGAGUUAAAGGCGUUAGAGUUUUGGGUUCAUGGCAUUUGAUUUUUGGGUUGAUGACAGUUGAUUUUUAUGUAAAACAUCAUCGAUUGCCAUUUUCAAGCCAAUGCUGACGCCUUUUAUUUUUGCGACAAAUUUUAUUUGUUGUUUAUUUUCCUGUAACAGCACGUUUUUCGAAAUCGCUGUAAGAAACUUACAGCAAAUUCUUACUUCUUAGAACUUGCUGUAAGAUACAGCGCGUUCAAAAGGCCGGUUUACUCGUUGCUGCUGAAACGCAUAGUUACACCGCACUAAGGCGGGUUGACGCGGUCCAAGUGCACUUGGACCAAGUGCUGCCAUAUAAGUGUAGUUUAUGGAUGCUGCGCGCAUCUCACUUGUACGCUGUUUGUAUCGUAUCAACUGUUUUAUCCAAGUCGAGUUGGAAAGCUUCAUAUCAUCCUACAAAGCUUUCCAAUUCGACUUUGAUAAAA